rnacentral:rRNA from 1 species
AUGUGUGAGGCCAUAGGCAAAUUUGGUCCUGGAUAUGAGCCUCCUACUCAAUAUGAGCUUAGGGAGAAGUUGUUGAGUGAUGAAUAUGCAAGGACCAAGAGUUUGUUAGAUGAACGUGAGAAGGAGAAGAUAAAGCUUGGGUGCACCAUCAUGACAGAUGCAUGGACAAACAUGAAGAGGAGGAGCAUAAUGAAUUUGUGCAUGCAUUGCAGUGGGGGGACAAGUUUUCUCAAAUCAAAGGAAACAUCUGAUGUGUCACAUACAAGUGAAGUCAUAUUUCAGCUAGUGGACAGCGCAAUUGAGGAGGUAGGGGCGGAGCAUGUGAUGCAAGUGGUGACGGACAAUGCUUCCAAUAACAUGGGAGCCAAGAAAAUGUUGCUUGAGAAGAGGCCGAAGAUCUUUUGGAGCUCUUGUGCAACUCACACUAUCAACUUAAUGCUCCAAGGAAUUGGCAGCCUCAAGAGAUUCAAAACAAUAAUUGAUCAAGCAAAGAACCUCACCAUCUUCAUCUAUGCGCAUCACAAGACUUUGGCAUUGAUGAGGGUUGCUACAAAAAGGAGAGAUAUCAUAAGGCCGGGGGUGACUAGAUUUGCUUCCGCUUUUCUCACAUUGCAAAGUUUGUUGGAGAAGAAAGAUGCUUUAAGGUAUAUGGUGGUUGAAAGAGCUUGGGAAGAUAUGAAAAAUGUGAAAACAAAGAAAGGCAAGGAUGCAACGGCAACGGUGAUGGAUGCAAACUUUUGGAAAGGUGUGCUCCUAUGCAUAAAGGUGUUUGAGCCAUUGGUGAGAGUACUUCGUUUGGUUGAUGGGGAUAUUAAGCCAUCGAUGGCUUGGUUGUAUGGAGAGUUGGUGAAUGCAAAGAGGGAGAUGAAGGAGGCAUUUAACAACUUGGAGAGGAACUACAAAGAUACUAUGGGCAUUGUUGAAAAGAAGAUGAAUGGAAGGCUAGAUUCUCCACUGCACAUGGCCACAUAUGUGUUGAACCCACACUAUAGUUAUGCAGAUAGCUCCGUCUUUACCACUGCAAAUGAAGGAUUUCAGGAGUGUGCUGAACAAUACUAUGCAAAUGAUCAUGAUACUUGCAUGCUGGUUGUCAAUGAUGAGUUUCUGAAAUAUGAAAACAAAGAAGGAACUUUUGGAAAGAAGCUUGCAAAAGCAUGUGAAAAUAAAAGCUACAGCCCCGAUACAUACCAAGAGAAGAAAUAG